rnacentral:tRNA from 1 species
CAGGAUGUGGGAUAGUGGCCGUCCACCAGUCUUGGGAACUGGUUCACGCUGGUUCAAUUCCAGCCAUCCUGA